rnacentral:lncRNA from 1 species
UCUUUAAAUGAGAUAGAACACUUGCAAUUUUUGUUUCAGCUCAAUCUGUUCUUUCUAUUAGCAGGCAUGGCAGCUCCAGCUUCUAGAUCUUUUGGGCAGUGCCAAGCAGGAACCUUUUGUCCUACUGGUUCAUACCUUCCUAUUCCCUGCCCACCAGGUUUGUACUGUGCAACUGCAGAGCUUGCAGCUCCAUCAGGUCCCUGUGAGGCUGGCUUCUACUGCACAGGGGGCUCCAGGCUCCCAAACCCUAUGGGUGGUGCAGUGGGGAACAUCUGUCCUCGAGGUCACUUCUGUCCUGCAGGAAGCUCCUCUCCAUCUCCGUGUCCCCCAGGUAGGUUUGCCAGCAGCUGCUGCAUACCAGCAUUUUUCUUCCCGGUGCUUGGUGAGCUGCUGAGCUCAUCUGAGGCUUUGCCAUUGUUUUGCAGCCCCUUGUUAUUUUGCACUGAAGCAUGCCUUUAUGUUGCCCAAGGGGCAGCUGCUGUCAGCACGAGAGCUUAGCCUCUAAUCCGGUGCUGUUGUAUUGGAAGCAUCAGCCCUAAAUGUGCAUUCAGACAGUAAUUACACAACAGCCUCAGUCUGUGGCCUUACUUGCUGCUGUGCAGCAGUGGGGGGGAAGCUCAUUCCUGAGCCAUCCUGAAGGAAAGGUCACAGCCACGGUGAGCAGAGCACAUGUAAGUCUCUGCUGCUCUCCCUGCACGGUGAGAGCUGUCCUCCAACAUCACCUUUAAUGAGACUGCCAAUUAAAUUGAAUGAGAAAGACUUAGAUGCUUGUUUCUUCCUUGGUUAAAUCUACAGUUAUAUUAAGCAAGUGACUGUUCUGCUGUGCCUGGACCAGAAAUAAAUGGGAGUUGACCUCAGCCA